rnacentral:lncRNA from 1 species
CAAGUUUUUAUAUGGACAUCUGUAGACACAACCUGAUCUUGCUUAUAUCCUGAGCAGCUACCGUCACUUGUGAGUAGGUUAUAACUUUUGAGAUUUUGUGUUAUGGAUCAAAAGCUCUUAUUUUAUCAAUGUUAAAUUCCCUAAUGAAGAUAAUACUAAUAUGUUUAUGUAAAACAAUAUUUUUGUGUUUAGGAAAUACAAAUAGAGUCUCAAGUUUGGCGACACAGAAAAUGCUAAAGAUAACUUUGAAAAAUUACCAUUGCCUGGGUCUCAACCUGAAAAUUCUGACAUAGUUUUUCUAGUGUAGGUCUUGAGUACAGUUGUUUUUAAAGGUUUUGUAACCACCCGAUAGAUUCUUCCUGCCCAGUGCACAAAGACUAUAUGGCAUUGCGUGGUUUAGCUUGACUGAUUUGAGGCUAUCCACACCACAUGUAGGAUGGAGUUAUU